rnacentral:rRNA from 1 species
UGCUCCCGGAUGUUAGCGGCGGACGGGUGAGUAACACGUGGGUAACCUGCCUGUAAGACUGGGAUAACUCCGGGAAACCGGAGCUAAUACCGGAUAGUUCCUUGAACCGCAUGGUUCAAGGAUGAAAGACGGUUUCGGCUGUCACUUACAGAUGGACCCGCGGCGCAUUAGCUAGUUGGUGAGGUAACGGCUCACCAAGGCGACGAUGCGUAGCCGACCUGAGAGGGUGAUCGGCCACACUGGGACUGAGACACGGCCCAGACUCCUACGGGAGGCAGCAGUAGGGAAUCUUCCGCAAUGGACGAAAGUCUGACGGAGCAACGCCGCGUGAGUGAUGAAGGUUUUCGGAUCGUAAAGCUCUGUUGUUAGGGAAGAACAAGUGCAAGAGUAACUGCUUGCACCUUGACGGUACCUAACCAGAAAGCCACGGCUAACUACGUGCCAGCAGCCGCGGUAAUACGUAGGUGGCAAGCGUUGUCCGGAAUUAUUGGGCGUAAAGGGCUCGCAGGCGGUUUCUUAAGUCUGAUGUGAAAGCCCCCGGCUCAACCGGGGAGGGUCAUUGGAAACUGGGAAACUUGAGUGCAGAAGAGGAGAGUGGAAUUCCACGUGUAGCGGUGAAAUGCGUAGAGAUGUGGAGGAACACCAGUGGCGAAGGCGACUCUCUGGUCUGUAACUGACGCUGAGGAGCGAAAGCGUGGGGAGCGAACAGGAUUAGAUACCCUGGUAGUCCACGCCGUAAACGAUGAGUGCUAAGUGUUAGGGGGUUUCCGCCCCUUAGUGCUGCAGCUAACGCAUUAAGC